rnacentral:rRNA from 1 species
GAUGAACGCUGACAGAAUGCUUAACACAUGCAAGUCAACUUGAACUUCGGUUUGGGUGGCGGACGGGUGAGUAACGCGUAAAGAACUUGCCUCACAGAUAGGGACAACAUUUGGAAACGAAUGCUAAUACCUGAUAUUAUGAUUAUAUGGCAUCGUAUAAUUAUGAAAGCUAUAUGCGCUGUGAGAGAGCUUUGCGUCCCAUUAGCUAGUUGGAGAGGUAACGGCUCACCAAGGCGAUGAUGGGUAGCCGGCCUGAGAGGGUGAUCGGCCACAAGGGGACUGAGACACGGCCCUUACUCCUACGGGAGGCAGCAGUGGGGAAUAUUGGACAAUGGACCAAGAGUCUGAUCCAGCAAUUCGGUGUGCACGAUGAAGUUUUUCGGAAUGUAAAGUGCUUUCAGUUGGGAAGAAAAAAAUGACGGUACCAACAGAAGAAGUGACGGCUAAAUACGU